AGUGAACGCUGGCGGUAGGCCUAACACAUGCAAGUCGAACGGCAGCACAGUAAGAGCUUGCUCUUACGGGUGGCGAGUGGCGGACGGGUGAGGAAUACAUCGGAAUCUACUUUUUCGUGGGGGAUAACGUAGGGAAACUUACGCUAAUACCGCAUACGACCUACGGGUGAAAGCAGGGGAUCUUCGGACCUUGCGCGACUGAAUGAGCCGAUGUCGGAUUAGCUAGUUGGCGGGGUAAAGGCCCACCAAGGCGACGAUCCGUAGCUGGUCUGAGUGGAUGAUCAGCCAAACUGGAACUGAGACACGGUCCAGACUCCUACGGGAGGCAGCAGUGGGGAAUAUUGGACAAUGGGCGCAAGCCUGAUCCAGCCAUACCGCGUGGGUGAAGAAGGCCUUCGGGUUGUAAAGCCCUUUUGUUGGGAAAGAAAAGCAGCAGGUUAAUACCCCGCUGUUCUGACGGUACCCAAAGAAUAAGCACCGGCUAACUUCGUG
rnacentral:rRNA from 1 species